rnacentral:rRNA from 1 species
UCGCCCCCGCGGCCUCCGCCGUCCGGCUCGCCCGCAGUCCCGGGGCACCUCAUGCGGCACUGGACCUCCUCGCGGGGUCCUGUGUCGAGGCGCACCUGCGAGCGUAUGUGUUGUUACCCGAAAGAUGGUGAACUAUGCCUGGCCAGGACGAAGCCAGGGGAAACCCUGGUGGAAGUCCGUAGCGAUUCUGACGUGCAAAUCGAUCGUCGGAGCUGGGUAUAGGGGCGAAAGACUAAUCGAACCAUCUAGUAGCUGGUUCCCUCCGAAGUUUCCCUCAGGAUAGCUGGCGCUCGGAUGAGUUUCAUCCGGUAAAGCGAAUGAUUAGAGGCCUUGGGGCCGAAACGACCUCAACCUAUUCUCAAACUUUAAAUGGGUGAGACCCCCGGCUUGCUUGAUCCCGGGCGUGUCGCGUUUCCUCGCUCUUCCCCGAGAGGGGACGGGGCCGGCGCGCCCGAACUCUGCUAAUGAAGCCGGGGCUCACGAAUCGAGAGUGCCAAGUGGGCCAAUUUUGGUAAGCAGAACUGGCGCUGUGGGAUGAACCAAACGCAGAGUUAAAGCGCCUAAAUCGACGCUCAUGGGAUACCAUGAAAGGUGUUGGUUGCUUAAGACAGCAGGACGGUGGCCAUGGAAGUCGGAAUCCGCUAAGGAGUGUGUAACAACUCACCUGCCGAAGCAACUAGCCCUUAAAAUGGAUGGCGCUGAAGCGUCGUGCUUAUACUCUGCCGCCGGCGGCAAAAGCGGCCGGUAAGGCGGACGGUCCCUCCCGAAAGGGGGCGAAACCGGCCCCGAGCCUUGAGGCCCCGGUGAGUAGGAGGGUCGCUCGGGUGUGCGCAGAAGGGUCUGGGCGUGAGCCUGCCUGGAGCCGCCCGAGGUGCAGAUCUUGGUGGUAGUAGCAAAUACUCCAGAGAGGGCCCUGGAGGGCUGAUGCGGAGAAGGGGUUCCGGGUGAAACAGCUGUUGCCCACGGGUCAGUCGAUCCYUAAGCCCUAGGAGAAAAUCCUACGUGCGAUGUGCGGGUGUAUACAACCAAAACUCCCGUCGCCGGGCGAAAGGGAAUCAGGUUCCUAUUCCUGAACCCAGAUGCGGUACCGUUCUACCGGGCUUGUCUCGAAGCGUGUCCUCCCCGCCGGCUCGUCCGCGCGGCGGCAGGGCGCGUCUGAGGGCGAACUCGUCGGGGUAACCCGAACAGCCGCGGAGAAGCCGGCAGGAGCCCCCGGGAGAGUUGUCUUUUCUGUAUUACCGCGCAAGUUCCCUGGAAUUCCAUUGCGGAGAGAGAGGGAAUAGCGCGGGAAGAGCACCGCACUUGCGGCGGUGUCGGGGGUGGCCUCUCGGACCAUGAAAAUCCGCGUGAGGGCUACGGAGAACAACCGAUCUGGCUCGUACCCAUAUCCGCAGC